rnacentral:lncRNA from 1 species
UUUUCUUAUUUAUAUAUUUAUUAUUAUUGAGAAGUGUAAGAAACUCUCCCUAACACUCUUCUUCUAGUCCACUAUCUAUUGUUGUUUUCUGUACUAAAUAUUUAAGUUGUUCGAUCACUCAGAGUAGAGCGUCUUCAUUCUUUGUGUUGGAACAAGUAUUUUGGUCAAUAAGAUUGGACUUAAGGUUGAUUUACAUUUUUUUUUUACUUAAACAUUUUGCAUGUAUGACACAUUUUUAUGAUUGUAGAGUGUUUGCAGGCACACUUCCUCGUCUCUUGGAAGAAGAAAUCUUUGAUCGAAGUUCGACGACUCAAAGUCAUCAACACCUCCACAGGACGUAGAUCUUACUUCUUAGGUCCCAUGAGGGAUCAAAUGUGAAAUAUAAUCUUGCAAUUGUAAUAAUGUAUUUAUUUAACUUGUCCCUUAAGGUAUGCAAUCACACUGUCUGUGACACUGUUUGUGACCCUACACUUGUUGUUAUAUAUUCCGCUGAGUGGACCCUUUAAUUUGUUUUCGAUGGGCUAAAGUUGUGUCCCAAAGCUGGAAACCUUUAAAAUACUGGGUUCGCAUGUGUUGGUUGUUUGUGUACUAUUGAAUUACUUUUUUUUCUUUCUUUCAAAUCAUGGAAAUCAUUUUAAUGUGAGUGUGUUGUGUUGGCCGAAAUGGUCCUAUUUAUAUUUGUGAACUGAAU